UACAUGGGAGACUUACGCCAGAAUCAAGAUCCUUGCAUUUCAACUCCAUGUCUCAAUGGAGGAAUCUGUGAGACUAUUCCAUCAGGAUUUACUUGUAAAUGUGCAAUGGAUUUCAUUGGAGAGAUUUGUCAACUACAAGAUCCAUGUAGGUCCUUU